GGGCCUGUAGCACAACGGUUAGUGCAGGGGACUCAUAAUCCCUUGGUUGCAGGUUCGAAUCCUGCCGGGCCCA
rnacentral:tRNA from 1 species